rnacentral:rRNA from 1 species
CCUACGGGGGGCAGCAGCUAAGAAUAUUGGGCAAUGGAGGAGACUCUGACCCAGCCAUGCCGCGUGAAUGAAGAAGGCCUUCGGGUUGUAAAGUUCUUUUAGUCGUGAAGAUGAUGACAGUAGCGACAGAAAAAGCUCCGGCUAAAUACGUGCCAGCAGCCGCGGUAAUACGUAUGGAGCAAGCGUUAUCCGGAUUUACUGGGCGUAACGGGAGCGUAGGCGGCUUGCCAAGUCUGAUGUGAAAUACCGGGGCUCAACCCCGGGGCUGCAUUGGAAACUGGCAGGCUGGAGUGCCGGAGAGGCAGGCGGAAUUCCUAGUGUAGCGGUGAAAUGCGUAGAUAUUAGGAAGAACACCAAUGGCGAAGGCGGCCUGCUGGACGGUGACUGACGCUGAGGCUCGAAAGCGUGGGGAGCAAACAGGAUUAGAUACCCCGGUAGUC